AGUAAAAUAAGAUCUUGAGUUCCUAGCAUCAAGACAAAAACAAAUUCUUGAUUCUCAAAUUUUAACAUAAAAUUACAAAAGUAGAACUCUUAUAAAUUAUAAAAUUUUAAAAUUGUUGGCCCCCUAACCACCAUGUUUCUUCAACUUGCACACACACACAUAUAUAUAAGCAUGGUUGCUCGUAAUAACUUCAGCUUGCAUAUAUAAACAUUAGAUUUUCUAUAAAUCCAAAAAAAAUGGUUCAAACAAGAAUCGAAAUUAUGGCUCUUUUAUUAUUGAUGGCUCUUCUAAUUUCCUCACAAGUUGCAGACGCUCGAGUUUCAUAUAAAGAAGGUGAGAAGAUGAUGAGAAGCUCUGCACGUUAUCGCUGCCCCCAUGGAUGUUGUAAUAAUAUUGGUGCUGUUGCGGAUGCUGAUGCCGGUGCUGGUGCUGGUGCUCCUCGAACAGCUGUAGCAGCCGGGCCUCCCCCGUAUUGUCGCUGCUGCCUGUAGCCCAACAAUAGCCCUAGUAUAUUAGCUUGAUGUAUUUUUUAUGUAAAAUUAAGGUGUUCAAAAAAAUAAAUACUACUCCAUAAAGGAAAGGAAAGUAAGUUCAUGUAUUUCUAACUGUUCAAUUUAUUUUUGAAAUUAAUGAGCUGUUGCCUGA